rnacentral:rRNA from 1 species
CAAUAGCGUAUAUUAAAGUUGUUGCGGUUAAAAAGCUCGUAGUUGGAUUUCUGGUAGGAGUGACCGUUCCGAACUUGAUUGUUCGUGUAUUGAGUUUUCUCCAGCCAUCCUUGUGGAUAGCUUUUCUUGCAUUAAUUUGUAGGGAUUGUGACCCGCAUCGUUUACUGUGAAAAAAUUAGAGUGUUUAAAGCAGGCAAUCGCUUGAAUACAUUAGCAUGGAAUAAUAAGAUAGGACUUUGGUACUAUUUUGUUGGUUUGCAUACCAAAUUAAUGAUCAACAGGAACAGUUUGAGGAUAUUCGUAUGAACAUGUCAGAGGUGAAAUUCUUGGAUUUUGAUCAGACGAACUACUGCGAAANCANNNAUCAAGGAUGUUUUCAUNAA